rnacentral:rRNA from 1 species
GCCAGACUCCUACGGGAGGCAGCAGUGGGGAAUAUUGCACAAUGGGGGAAACCCUGAUGCAGCGACGCCGCGUGAGUGAAGAAGUAUUUCGGUAUGUAAAGCUCUCUCAGCAGGGAAGAAAAAAGACGGUACCUGACUAAGAAGCCCCGGCUAACUACGUGCCAGCAGCCGCGGUAAUACGUAGGGGGCAAGCGUUAUCCGGAUUUACUGGGUGUAAAGGGAGCGUAGACGGCAAUACAAGUCGGAAGUGAAAUACCCGGGCUUAACCUGGGAACUGCUUUGGAAACUGUAUGGCUGGAGUGCUGGAGAGGUAAGCGGAAUUCCUAGUGUAGCGGUGAAAUGCGUAGAUAUUAGGAGGAACACCAGUGGCGAAGGCGGCUUACUGGACUGUAACUGACGUUGAGGCUCGAAAGCGUGGGGAGCAAACAGGAUUAGAUACCCCUGUACAA